rnacentral:rRNA from 1 species
AGAGUUUGAUCCUGGCUCAGAUUGAACGCUGGCGGAAUGCUUUACACAUGCAAGUCGAGCGGCAGCGCGGGGGCAACCCUGGCGGCGAGCGGCGAACGGGUGAGUAAUGUAUCGGAACGUACCCAGUCGUGGGGGAUAACUAUCCGAAAGGAUAGCUAAUACCGCAUACGUCCUGAGGGAGAAAGCGGGGGAUCGCAAGACCUCGCGCGAUUGGAGCGGCCGAUAUCGGAUUAGCUAGUUGGUGAGGUAAAAGCUCACCAAGGCGACGAUCCGUAGCUGGUCUGAGAGGACGACCAGCCACACUGGAACUGAGACACGGUCCAGACUCCUACGGGAGGCAGCAGUGGGGAAUUUUGGACAAUGGGGGCAACCCUGAUCCAGCCAUUCCGCGUGAGUGAAGAAGGCCUUCGGGUUGUAAAGCUCUUUCGGCAGGAACGAAACGGUGGCCCCUAAUACGGG